GGAUUAGAUACCCUGGUAGUCCACGCCGUAAACGAUGAGUGCUAGGCGGUGGGAGAUUUUGACCCUUUCGCUGUCGAAGCUAACGCGUUAAGCACUCCGCCUGGGGAGUACGGUCGCAAGACUAAAACUCAAAGGAAUUGACGGGGGCCCGCACAAGCGGUGGAGCAUGUGGUUUAAUUCGACACAACGCGCAGAACCUUACCUGGGUUAAAUCCUUCGGAAUCCGGCCGAAAAGCUGGAGUGCCCUUCGGGGAAUCGAAGCGAAGGUGCUGCAUGGCUGUCGUCAGCUCGUGCCG
rnacentral:rRNA from 1 species